ACUUUUGUACCUAUUACCCUCAUUUAGCAGAAUUAAAUUAAAAGGAAGUAAAUAACACUUCACAUAUCUUCUUGAUAAAAUAUUCAACCCAAUCUCCUCUCAUUAACAUGAGGGAACCUGUACACUUGACUGUACAUGAUGGGACCAGAGGCCUGGGAUAUAUGCUGUCCUUGAUCCAUCAGUGAAGUGUGACUUGAUCACUAUGUUAGGAGGCAUAAGCAGGCUUAUCACAAAGGUACACUGAACUUACAGGAUUUCAAGGAUGAAAAGGGAAAUGUGUGCUAAAGAAGUCACUGUUUUUAGUUCAGGAGUGAAGACAAUCAAAUACCCCAGAUGGGCUAGAACCACAAAGGAGAAAGGCAACCUGAUGGUCUUUCCUACUUUUCAAAAAUCUGGUCUCUUGAUUCACCCUUUAUGACUCUCUCCAUAUAGCAUCUCACUGGAGACAGAAUUAUUCUCAGGUCUAAGAAUCAGAAAUUUUACUAACACCUGACUCUGAGCUCAAAGGAGGAAAGAACAAUCUAUUUCAACAUAAGGAGGCCCCAGAGGGGCUCUGUUGAAAUGCCUGAGGAAAUAUGCUGAUCUUCAACCCAUAAGUUCCCUACAGGAUUUUCAAGGAUAACUAUGACCAUGGGCAAAUUGAAGAACCUCUGUCCUGCAGCAUUUAUGAUUCCUUCACAACGUAACCACGUAUCUUCCAGGAAAAUGGGGAAAGAUGAACUUGGUGCAUGCCAAGUAGUUUUUGAUACAAAAUGAGAUUGGUUUCAAUAAAACUCACAGCUUUUUGGCCUACAGGACCUUGGAAAUAGGAAGGUAAAGCAAUAAAAUACCUCUACCUUAGCUAUAUUGUCUUUAUGGGUAGAGUUACCUCCCUCAUUGCCUAACACUUUAUGUCUCAAUUACUUUCUAAAUGUUAUUCCCAUCAGCAUAAGUUCAGUUUUAGCCUAUUCCCACUUUAUCUGACCCAUUCUAUCAGGUUUUCUUUCUCUAGCAUGUCUCACACACCCCAAGCAAGAUGGUUUUUUAUAAAUACACAGCUGACUGUGCUCUCAUUCACAAUGGACUAAGGUUUGAUCUCUGGCUCCCUUUUUAAUCUUUUCUUGCCACCAUUUCCAACUUUACAAGUUAAACCCAGCUAUC